CCUACGGGAGGCUGCAGUGAGGAAUAUUGGGCAAUGGGGGCAACCCUGACCCAGCCAUGCCGCGUGAGUGAAGAAGGUCUUCGGAUUGUAAAGCUCUUUCGGACGUGACGAUGAUGACGGUAGCGUCUAAAGAAGCACCGGCAAACUUCGUGCCAGCAGCCGCGGUAAUACGAAGGGUGCGAGCGUUAUCCGGAUUUAUUGGGUUUAAAGGGUGCGUAGGCUGGGAGGUAAGUCAGCGGUGAAAUGCCCCCGCUCAACGGGGUGAAGUGCCAUUGAUACUGCCUUGCUGGAAUGCGGAUGCCGUGGGAGGAAUGUGUGGUGUAGCGGUGAAAUGCAUAGAUAUCACACAGAACACCGAUUGCGAAGGCAUCUCACGAAUCCGCGAUUGACGCUGAUGCACGAAAGCGUGGGUAUCAAACAGGAUUAGAUACCCUUGUAGUC
rnacentral:rRNA from 1 species